GACGAACGCUGGCGGCGUGCUUAACACAUGCAAGUCGAACGGAAAGGCCCUGCUUUUGUGGGGUGCUCGAGUGGCGAACGGGUGAGUAACACGUGAGUAACCUGCCCUUGACUUUGGGAUAACUUCAGGAAACUGGGGCUAAUACCGGAUAGGAGCUCCUGCUGCAUGGUGGGGGUUGGAAAGUUUCGGCGGUUGGGGAUGGACUCGCGGCUUAUCAGCUUGUUGGUGGGGUAGUGGCUUACCAAGGCUUUGACCGGUAGCCGGCCUGAGAGGGUGGGCGGCGACACGGGAAGUGAGACAGGGUGAAGAGUACUACGGUACGCAGCAGUGGGGAAUAGUGGGCAAGGGGGGGGAGUAUGAUCCAGCGAUACGGAGUGGGAGGAGAAGGCCCCACGGUCGGAAAGCCCUUUUGUGGGGAAAGAAAAGCAGCAGGUUGAGACGACGCUGGUGUGACGGUACCAAAAGAAUAAGCACCGGCUAACUACGUG
rnacentral:rRNA from 1 species